AGGACACGGCUGGCGGCGUGCUUAACACAUGCAAGUCGAACGGAGAAUAGAAGGAAGCUUGCGAAUUCUAUUCUUAGUGGCGGACGGGUGAGUAACGCGUGGGUAACAACCCAUAAUACCGGGACAACCCUGGGAAACUGGGGCUAAUACCGGAUACGUUCUUCUUGGGGCAUCCUGGGGAGAAGAAAGGUGGCCUCUGAAUAUGCUGCCGAUUAUGGACGGACCCGCGUCUGAUUAGCUAGUUGGUGGGGUAACGGCCUACCAAGGCGACGAUCAGUAGCCGGCCUGAGAGAGUGGUCGGCCACACUGGGACUGAGACACGGCCCAGACUCCUACGGGAGGCAGCAGUGGGGAAUAUUGCGCAAUGGGCGAAAGCCUGACGCAGCAACGCCGCGUGAGUGAGGAAGGCCUUCGGGUUGUAAAGCUCUGUCUUCUUGGACGAAACCUAAUUGGUUAAUAGCCAAUUAGAUGACGGUACAAGAGGAGGAAGCCCCGGCUAACUACGUG
rnacentral:rRNA from 1 species